AUACGUAGGUGACAAGCGUUAUCCGGAUUUACUGGGCGUAAAGGGCGUGUAGGCGGUCUUGCAAGUCAGAAGUGAAAUUCCUGAGCUCAACUCGGGCGCUGCUUCUGAAACUGCAGGACUUGAGUGCUGGAGGGGAUAGCGGAAUUCCUAGUGGAGCGGUAAAAUGCGCAGAGAUUAGGAAGAACACCGGUGGCGAAGGCGGCUAUCUGGACAGGAUCGGACGGUGAGGCGCGAAAGCGUGGGGAGCAAACAGGAUUAGAUCCCCGGGUAGUCCACGCCGUAAACGAUGAAUACUAGGUGUAGGGGGUAUCGACUCCCUCUGUGCCGCAGUUAACACAAUAAGUAUUCCGCCUGGGGAGUACGGCCGCAAGGUUGAAACUCAAA
rnacentral:rRNA from 1 species